rnacentral:tRNA from 1 species
GUUGGGUUGGCUCAGUGGUUAGAGCUUAGGUCUCGUAACCGAAAGGUCGGAUCGAAUCCCGCUAGAGG